GCCUGCCAGUGACCCUGUUCAACGGCCGCGGUAUCCUAACCGUGCGAAGGUAGCGUAAUCACUUGUUCUUUAAAUGAGGACUAGUAUGAAUGGCAUCACGAAGGUUAUACUGUCUCCUCUCUCUAAUCAGUGAAACUAAUCUCCCCGUGAAGAAGCGGGGAUAAUCUUAUAAGACGAGAAGACCCUAUGGAGCUUUAAACUAAGAAGCAAUUGCCCUCAUACCUUUGAAAUUCCAGAAAACUAAUGAGUACAAGGCACUAUGACUUCCAGUUUUAGGUUGGGGUGACCACGGAGUAAAAACUAACCUCCGUACUGAAUAGGGGCCUUCCCUAAACUAAGGGCCACAACCCCAAGAAUCAAUACAUUGACAGCAAUUGACCCAAAAAAUUUGAUCAAUGAACCAAGUUACCCUAGGGAUAACAGCGCAAUCCACUUCAAGAGCUCCUAUCGACAAGUGGGUUUACGACCUCGAUGUUGGAUCAGGGUACCCCAGUGGUGCAGCCGCUACUAACGGUUCGUUUGUUCAACGAUUAA
rnacentral:rRNA from 1 species